GGUGAGAUACUCAAGUGGCCAACGAGGGCAGACUGUAAAUCUGCUGCGCAAGCUUCGGAGGUUCGAAUCCUCCUCUCACCACAA
rnacentral:tRNA from 2 species